GAAGACGACGACGUUGAUAGGCCGGGUGUGUAAGCGCAGCGAUGCGUUGAGCUAACCGGUACUAAUGAACCGUGAGGCUUAACCUUACAACGCCGAUG
rnacentral:rRNA from 1 species